GUGUGAGUGUGCAGACAGCUGCGGUCUCCCUCUUGCGCGCACUAAGGUCCUGGCUACACUGGCUGGCUGCUGCUACCUGUGACACUCCGCCUGGCUCCGCCCACCCACUCACCGCAAGGAUCCCCAAAGUGGAGGUGUCUGUGGCAUUUUGUCUCUCCUAGUUGGGGGAAGCUGAGAAGGUAUUAUGCUGACCUUCCUUGGAUUGACUACUACUUCCACGUCAGGAACCCCAUCUCUAUGUGCUAAGCACAUAACAGAGGACUGAUGGCGGGGAUGAUGCAGACUAUAGAUAUGCAACAAUGGACGAGAGCAGGGGGUUAAGUUGAGGGAAUCAUGAUUUCUCCUCACAAUGCAGACUCUUUCCCUACAAAUGAAAGGUAGUCUGUA